CUCCCUCGUUGCUGAUCUCAGGUUCGAUAAUGCCAAAUCGCACCACCUCGCCUAAAACCAACUUCGAUGAAGCGACGGGCGGUGUGUG
rnacentral:rRNA from 1 species